AUUGAACGCUGGCGGCAGGCCUAACACAUGCAAGUCGAACGAAUGGCGGACUGGUGAGUAAUGUUUGGGAAAGUGCCUGAUGGAGGGGGAUAACUACUGGAACCGGUAGCUAAUACCGCAUACCAUCGGAUGUGGCCAGAUGGGUUUAGCUAGUGGGUGGGGUAAAGGCUCACCUAGGCGACAAGCCCUAGCUGGGCAGAGAGGAUGACCAUCCACACUGGAACUGAGACACGGUCCAGACUCCUACGGGAGGCAGCAGUGGUGAAUAUUGCACAAUGGGCGAAAGCCUGAGUCAGCAAUGCCGCGUGUAUGAAGAAGGUCUUCGGGUUGUAAAGCACUGUCAGCGGGGAGGCGUUACCAGCAGAAUAAGCCCCGGCUAACUCCGUGCCAGCAGCCGCGGUAAUAC
rnacentral:rRNA from 1 species